AGAGUUUGAUCAUGGCUCAGAGCGAACGCUGGCGGCAGGCCUAACACAUGCAAGUCGAGCGGACGUAGCAAUACGUCAGCGGCAGACGGGAGAGUAACACGUGGGAACGCGCCCUUCGGUUCGGGAUAACUCAGGGAAACUUGGGCUAAUACCGGAUACGCCCUUACGGGGAAAGAUUUAUUGCCGAAGGAACGGCCCGCGUCCGAUUAGCUUGUUGGUGAGGUAACGGCUCACCAAGGCGACGAUCGGUAGCUGGUCUGAGAGGAUGACCAGCCUCACUGGGACUGAGACACGGCCCAGACUCCUACGGGAGGCAGCAGUGGGGAAUAUUGGACAAUGGGCGCAAGCCUGAUCCAGCCAUGCCGCGUGGGUGAUGAAGGCCCUAGGGUUGUAAAGCCCUUUCGGCGGGGAAGAUAAUGACGGUACCCGCAGAAGAAGCCCCGGCUAACUUCGUGCCAGCAGCCGCGGUAAUACGAAGGGGGCUAGCGUUGCUCGGAAUUACUGGGCGUAAAGCGCACGUAGGCGGCUUCUUAAGUCGGUGGUGAAAUCCUGGAGCUCAACUCCAGAACUGCCUUCGAUACUGGGGAGCUCGAGUCCGGGAGAGGUGAGUGGAACUGCGAGUGUAGAGGUGAAAUUCGUAGAUAUUCGCAAGAACACCAGUGGCGAAGGCGGCUCACUGGCCCGGUACUGACGCUGAGGUGCGAAAGCGUGGGGAGAAACAGGAUUAGAUACCCUAGUAGUCC
rnacentral:rRNA from 1 species